rnacentral:snoRNA from 1 species
UAAGCCAGUAUACUUCAUCUGCUUAACUGAACGUGUUUUGCAGAAGGGAUGUGUGAAUAUGCUGGCAAUAUCAUAGCCUGGGUACGAGCCUUGAAGACUCUGUAGUCAUUAAGGUCCCUGAAAUUGGCAACAUCUC